CUGUUAAUUACAUUGUCCAGAAGAAAUAUUUCCCCAUCGUUCGUUGAAGAUUUUAUUUAUAUAAAGAAGCUGAUGUUUUGAUGAAUGUGCCUUAUGAAUAUAUGGUCUUCCUUUAAUUGAUGAAAGUCAAUAAAAAUAUCAGACACACAUCUGAAUGAAGAAAUUUCUUUUAAAUCAACAUGGUAUGAUAUUCUGAAAUAGGAAAAAAAUUCAUUUCUAUGUUGCUAUUUUCAGAGAAUAAUUUCAUACUAUGCUUCUUUCAGCUGAGAUCUUGCUUAAUAUCUAAAUCAAGAGGUGACAAUUGUCUAUGUCUUUGUAAAGUUAUCCAAGUUUAAUUAACCUGUAAAGCAAUCAUCUCCUCUAUAUUCCAGACAGCAAAGACUUCAAAUUGUUGCUGUUAAUUCCAUUGUCCAGAAUAAAUAUUUUGCUGUUGUUUUUGACAGAUUUCAUUUAUAUGUUGAGUUUGAUGUAUUGAUGAAUGUACCUCAGAAAUAUAUGGUGUUCCUUUAAUUGAUGAAAGCCAAUAAAAAUACCAGAGGUACAUCUGAAUGAAGAAAUUUCUUUUACGUCAACAUGAUGUGAUAUUCUGAAACAGAAAAAAAGAAGCAGUGAGAUAAAGAGAAUCAUUAAACGACAUAGUAAUUCAACAUUGCAAAUCUUACAACAUCAACACUGUCAUCCAUUUAAUGUAAAUGUUUGCAAGGGUCGGGGUUCAUUGAGGCAUUGAAAGUUUUACAACAUUCUGUAUAUAGAUGAAUCGUCUCUACCUUUCUCUAAUUAUUUAUCUCUUUUCUUUCUCUUCUCUCCUUUCACUUGUUUCACCUCAGAAGUGGUGUGGCUUAGGCGGUAGGGCACUUACCUCACAACUGGUGAAUCUUUGCGCAGGAGUGGCUGUGUGGUAAGUAGCUUGCUAACCAACCACAUGCUUCCGGGUUCAGUCCCACUGUGUGGCAUCUUGGGCAAGUGUCUUCUACUAUAGCCCCGGGCCGACCAAUGCCUUGUGAGUGGACUUGGUAAACGGAAACUGAAAGAAGCCUGUCGUAUAUAUGUAUAUAUAUAUAUAUAUAUAUAUAUAUAUAUGUGUGUGUUUGUCCCCCUAGCAUUGCUUGACAACCGAUGCUGGUGUGUUUACAUCCCCGUUACUUAGCGGUUUGGCAAAAGAGAUCGAUAGAAUAAGUACUGGGCUUACAAAGAAUAAGUCUUGGGGUCGUUCUGCUCGACUAAAGGUAGUGCUCCAGCAUGGCCACAGUGAAAUGACUGAAACAAGUAAAGGAGUAAAAGUGUAAGUAUAAUAACCUCACAAAAUUAGGCUGUUCAACAAUUAACGAGAGAAAUUUGUAACAAUGACACUGAGUGAGCUUUAAACAUUUAUGGCCGUGUGGUAAGAAGCUUGCUUCCAAAUCACAUGGCUCUGGGUUCAGUCCCAGUAUGUGGCAUCUUGGGCGAGAGUCUUCUACUAUUAGUAGACCAAGGCCUUGUGAGUGGAUUUCGUAGAAGGGAAGUGGAACAAACAUGUCAUAUGCAUGUGCGUUUGUGUGUGUGUGUGUGUGUGUGUGCGCGCGCGUUUGGGCCCAACUCACAAUUUGAAAGCGGAUGUCGGUGUUUUUACAUCCAUGGUUCAGCAAGACACAGAGUAAAUAAAUUCUAGGCUAAAAAAAAAAUUUUUUUUAAAAACGCGAUCCUUCGGUAUAGGUACUAUAAGUGGCUUUCUUUACAUUUCUGAAGAUAACAGAACCCUUUUCUCCCACCCCUAACACCCCAUAUAUGUAUUUCUUUACUACCCACAGGGGGCUAAACACAGAGGGGACAAACGGAUUAAAUAGACGCCAGUGCGUAACUGGUACUUAAUUUAUCGACCCCGAAAGGAUGAAAGGCAAAGUCGACCUCGGCGGAAUUUGAACCCAGAACGUAACGGCACAUGAAAUACGGCUACGCAUUUCACCUGGCGUGCUAACGUUUCUGCCAGCUCGCUGCCUUAACCCCUGAUAUAUAUAAAAAAAAAGCAGUAUUUUGACAUGCAUCCGGUACUUCCGGUACCUAUACCGAAGUUACGCAAAAAAAAAAAAAAAGCAGUUCUGAACUGGAUUCCUUAAACUAAAAUUUCUCAAAAGUGGAGCUCCAGCAUGGACGCAGUCUAAUGACUGAAACAAGUAAAAGGUAACAGAAGUACUACUAGCGAACAGUGGUCCUAGUGCGUGCAUCCGCGCUAGCUAGUCAUGAAUAGUCGAUCCUACAACGACUACCUAGCAAAGUAAAUAAAACACAAAAUAAAAAAGUUUUGUUAAACAAAAUAAAUAAAACACAAAAACACAAAGUAAAUAAUUUUGUAAACAAAGUAAAUAACACACAAAAACACAAAGUAAGGAUUGACUUUUCACGACUAGCUAGCGCGGAUGCGCGAGCGACCGCCGGGACCAUUGUUCGCUAGUAGUACCUAUUUCUUUAUUACCCACAUGCUAACGUGUAUUUUGAGGCUUCCUUUGGCUUAUACUUCUUUAAAUUUUUCAGCUUGACCAUUUCCUUACAUUGCUAUGAUCCUCACCUCACUAAAGGCCUCAAGUCUCUUACUGCUAUCUCUUGUGUGUGGCCAUUGCCCUUUUUGUGAUGCACCCACCACCAAUACCAGAAAUCCCCUCUCUCAUAUCAGAAAUGCCAACAGGGCUCUGCCUCCCUCCUGUACCAGAACACUUGUAUUCUUCUGCCUCUCCAACCCACCCACCCCUUUCUGUCUAUACAUAAUGGACUAGCCAACAGCAUCUCAUUGACCUAUUAUAUUUGCAGCAGUAAUAAUUAUAUUCACAAAGCUUACAGGCGCAGGAGUGGCUGUGCGGUAAGUAGCUUGCUUACCAACCACAUGAUUCCGGGUUCAGUCCCACUGCAUGGCACCUUGAGCAGGUGUCUUCUACUAUAGCCUCGGGCCGACCAAAGCCUUGUGAGUGGAUUUGGUAGAUGGAAACUGAAAGAAGCCCAUCGUAUAUAGGCACAGGAGUGGCUGUGUGGUAAGUAGCAUGCUAACCAGCUUGCUUCCGGUUACCCAUAAUGCAUUUGGUUUGUCGUUUGUGUGCGAGUCGGACGUCGGUGUUGUUGCUGUGGUGAGACAAUGUACUCAGACCUUACCGGGUCUGAGUUGUCUUCAGAGGAGGUGCUCGUGAGGGCGGUCAUAGCAAUGGACAGUAUGUGAGAAAAGACCAGGAGUUUUGCGGAGGUCACAGAGAAGGAGCUGGACUUGGCUGGUAUGAAAAACCAUGGCAAGAUGCUACAGAAGGUGAGAGGGGACGUAAGACUGUCGCCCCCUAAAGGAAUCAUGGAGAAGAUAGAAAGGAAGACUGUCACCUAUAAGGUGUUCCCUUUAAAAGGUAAAAGGGCUGAACAGGUGGAAGUAGAUACAGAAAGAGCGCUAAGAGAGAGGUCAAAAGAAAUCACAUACAUCACAAAAGGAAAAAGAUACGGAACAAUGAUUGUCCAAUUUAGGACAGCUGAAGAGGCAAUGAGGCUGGCAAGUGCGGUGGUGAAAACGGAGGAGGUAGUGCUUCUGCCCAAAUACCAUGGAAGAAAAACUUCUAAAGUGAGGGUAGAAGCAAUUCCGCCGGACGUAGAAGGGGCUUGGAUAGCGGCAGCUGUCCUUGUUGGAAGCAAGGAGAAGGUGGCUGUCCUCCAAGCUACAGAAACAGAAGAAGGAGGGUGCAAAGGAAGGACGCUCGAACUAAUCAUUCAGACAGAGGAGGAACAACUUGAGAACUUGGCAGAAACUGUGACGCUGGGGGAAAUCGUGCUGAGGGUGUGGGUAGAGGGCAGAGUACCAUGUUGCUUUAAAUGUGGCCAAAAGGGCCACAUUAGAGCAUACUGCCCUCUACGAAAGACUACGGCUGAGGAUGUGGUUGCGGAGACAGAAGAGAAAAAAGAGGAAAAAGAAAAAAUAGGCGAAGGAAGCGAUGAAAAGGAGGAAGGGAAAGUUGCAGAGCGCACAAGAAGAAAGAGAAAAAAAAGAAAAGACACUGAGUAUGAUGUGGCACCCCAGUCCAACCCCAUCCCACCCAACACCACGCAGACCCACCCUCCCCAUACAGACACCAAACCCACCCACCCCAUUUCCCCUCAAGAAAAAAAGAAAAAAAAAGAACAGACACCACAAAAUUUAGAAGACCCCCCUCCCGGCAAAAAAGGUUAUGAAUGCAUGACGGAGAGAAGGUUACCAUCAAGCGACAGGAUUGAACGAAAAGAGAAAAAGGACUCAGGACCCAGAGACAGCGAGUUGUGUUACUCAGUGUGGGGUGAGUAGCACACUCUUCAUAAUAUCAUUUUCAGAUAUCAUUCAUAUUAUCAUAUUUUAAUUUGUUCUUCAUGUGCAUUUUCAUGUUCAUCUAUUAUAUCAUAUUUUAUUUUUUAAUUGUUAUAUGUCCCCACAUGUGUUAUAGUGUCCCAUCUGUGUACUGCCUUUAUGGCAAAUCUGAUAAAAUAAAGUAGCUUGCUUACCAACCACAUGGUACCGUGUUCAGUCCCACUGCGUGGCAUCUCGGGCAAGUGUCUUCUGCUAUAGCCCUGGGCCGACCAAACCUUUGUGAGUGGAUUUGGUAGACGGAAGCUGAAAGAAGCCCAUCGUAUAUAUGUGUAUAUAUAUAUAUAUAUAUAUAUAUAUAUAUGCGUGUGUGUGUCUGUGUUUGUCCCCCUAGCAUUGCUUGAUAACUGAUGCUGGUGUGUUUAUGUCCCUGUUACUUAGUGGUUCGGCAAAAAGAGACCGAUAGAAUCAAUACUGCGCUUACAAAAGAAUAAGUCCCGGGGGUGAUUUGCUCGAUUAAAGGCGGUGCUCCAGCAUGGCCGCAGUCAAAUGACUGAAACAAGUAAAAGAGUAAUAAUCGUGAUGCCUACAUUGCAGUAACCCCACUUAUCCCAAUUAUCUGGUAGGUAUUUGACUCCUUCAGUUAAGAUGCAUUCAUAAAGGCAAGAAGCCUUAUCAGUGUGACAUCCCUGAUAAAUCAUUCUCUGAAAAAGGCCACUUAAAUAGACAUGUACUUAUACAUGAAUUAAUGUAACCAUAUCAGAAUCAAAAUUUAUUAAAACAUAACAAUUGAGACUAUUUCGGUAGCUAAGAGACAGGUUUUGUUUCUUUGUAGUGGCGUCAUUCUUCAGUGCGCAUGUGUGGGGCUGGAACCUUCAGGAAAGGCCCAAGGAAGUUCCCUCUUGCACAUGCGCUACAAACAGGGGAAAAAAUUCUAUCGCAUUCCUUGUUAGCGUCAGUGACUUGAGACACGGCUAUUGAAGAGAGAAGACGUGUUUAACGUGUUAUAAGCCUAUUCUCCUGUCCCAGACGCUUGGGAUUUGACCGGCUCUGUUGCUGCUGGAGUUGUUGUGAGGUUUAUCUUUACAAAUGUUUAACUUCAGUCUUGCUGUACCUACACCAAGUGGUUACCAUUAGUAUUGGUACCUACACCAAGUGGUUACUAUUAGUAUUUCCAAAAGGAAGCCAUCCUUCCCAUCUCCAAAUUAUGAUACACACGGACUCAAGUUUCUGAGUAUUGACCCGUCAUCGGCGUGUGUCAAUCACAGUUGUCAAUGGAAAGUAGGUUCCCUUCACAAAUAUAUAUACGUUUUUACAAAAGACUAAUGAAUAAAAGGUUUAACAGUAACCAUUGUUUUGUUACUCUAUAUCUAGUCAUUGUGGCCUGCAUACUUUAAAUCUCUCAAAUGGCACAAGUCACACUCCUUUAAUUCUUCUUCCUCCACACCACCCCGUCGUGGGUGUUUUUGUCUUGCGAGUUACUUGGCAACACCGUCAUUGCUAGUGCAAUGUAAUAUACGCAUGUGCUGGUGUCAUGUGAAAAGCCCUGGUGAAUGUGCCAUGUAAAAUGCACUAGUGUUGGGGUCACGCCAAGAGUCAUGUUGAUGGUGUCACAUAAAAAGGACAGUUACUGGUGCCAUAUAGUAACCACUACAGCUGGUUUCACAUAAGAACUGUUGGUGAUGGUGCCACGUAAAAAAACACUCAACACCCUUUGUAAAG
rnacentral:lncRNA from 1 species